GAUGAACGCUGGCGGCGUGCCUAAUACAUGCAAGUCGAGCGACCGACGAGGAGCUUGCCUCCCUGACGUUUGCCGCCGGCCGGGUAGUUACACCUUGAUAACCUUCCUUAUAGACCUGGGUUAACUCCGGGAAACCGGGCCUAUUACCGGAUAUUAUUUUGACCCCGGUGUUUCAUUAUUAAAAGACGUUUUGCUUUCCCCUUUUAGAUGAUUCCGCGCCGCAUUAGCUAGUUGGUAAGGUACGGGCUUACCAAGGCGACGAUGCGUAGCCGACCUGAGAGGGUGAUCGGCCACACUGGAACUGAGACACGGUCCAGACUCCUACGGGAGGCAGCAGUAGGGAAUCUUCCGCAAUGGGCGAAAGCCUGACGGAGCAACGCCGCGUGAGUGAUGAAGGUCUUCGGAUCGUAAAACUCUGUUAUUAGGGAAGAACAAAUGUGUAAGUAACUAUGCACGUCUUGACGGUACCUAAUCAGAAAGCCACGGCUAACUACGUG
rnacentral:rRNA from 1 species